rnacentral:rRNA from 1 species
GUGACAAAUUUAACGGCCGCGGUACCCUAACCGUGCAAAGGUAGCAUAAUCAUUUGUUCUUUAAAUGAGGACUUGUAUCAACGGCACCACGAGGGUUAAACUGUCUCCUUUUCCCUAUCAGUAAAACUAAUCUCCCCGUGAAGAAGCGGGGAUAAUUUUAUAAGACGAGAAGACCCCAUGGAGCUUUAAACCCAACUACACCCCCUCUAAUUUUACUUUUAAGCACACAGGGCCCUGUAUGUUCUGGUUUUAGGUUGGGGUGACCACGGAGCAUAAACCAGCCUCCAUAAUGAAUAGACCUCCUCUUUAUCCAAGACUCACACUUCUAAGAAUUAGCAAUCUAACAUAAAAUGAUCCGAUAUUCGAUCAACGAACCAAGUUACCCUGGGGAUAACAGCGCAAUCUACUUCAAGAGCCCCUAUCGACAAGUAGGUUUACGACCUCGAUGUUGGAUCAGGGUAUCCCAGUGGUGCAGCAGCUGCUAAAGGUUCGUUUGUUCAACGAUCAAAACCCU